GUAACGCGUAUGCAACCUACCUAUCAGGAGGGGAACUAACCCGGCGAAAGUCGGACUAAUACCGCAUAAAACAGGGGCACCGCAUGGUGAUAUUUGUUAAAGAAAUUCGCUGAUAGAUGGGCAUGCGUUCCAUUAGGUAGUUGGUGAGGUAACGGCUCACCAAGCCGACGAUGGAUAGGGGAACUGAGAGGUUGGUCCCCCACACUGGUACUGAGACACGGACCAGACUCCUACGGGAGGCAGCAGUGAGGAAUAUUGGUCAAUGGGCGGGAGCCUGAACCAGCCAAGUCGCGUAGAAGGAAGAAGGAUCUAUGGUUACGUAAACUUCUUUUGCGAGGGGAAUAAAGUGCAGGACGUGUCCUGUUUUGUAUGUACCCUGAGAAUAAGGAUCGGCUAACUCCGUGCCAGCCGCCGC
rnacentral:rRNA from 1 species